GCCUGGAUGGCUCAGUGGUUGAGCAUCUGCCUUCAGCCCAGGGCGUGGGCGUGAUCUUGGAGUCCUGGGAUCGAGUCCCACAUCAGGCU
rnacentral:tRNA from 1 species